GACGUAGGGGGCCAGCGUUGCUCGGAAUUACUGGGCGUAAAGGGUCCGUAGGCGGUGCAGUAAGUCGGGAGUGAAAUCUCUGGGCUUAACUCAGAGGCUGCUUCCGAAACUACCGUGCUAGAGUGCGAGAGAGGCAAGUGGAAUUGCGGGUGUAGCGGUGAAAUGCGUAGAUAUCCGCAGGAACAUCCGAGGCGAAAGCGGCUUGCUGGAUCGCAACUGACGCUGAGGGACGAAAGCUAGGGGAGCAAACAGG
rnacentral:rRNA from 1 species